rnacentral:lncRNA from 1 species
AUGUUCAAGCUGGAUUUAGAAAAGUCAGAGGAACCAGAGAUCAAAUUGCUAACAUCCACUGGAUCAUCAAAAAAGCAAGAGAGUUCCAGAAAAACAUCUACUUCUGCUUUCUUGACGAUGCCAAAGCCUUUGACUGUGUGGAUCACAAGAAACUGGAAAAUUCUGAAAGAGAUGGGAAUACCAGACCACCUGACCUGCCUCUUGAGAAACCUAUAUGCAGGUCAGGAAGCAACAGUUAGAACUGGACAUGGAACAACAGACUGGUUCCAAAUAGGAAAAGGAGUACAUCAAGGCUGUAUAUUGUCACCCUGCUUAUUUAACUUCUAUGCAGAGUACAUCAUGAGAAACGCUGGGCGGGAUGAAGCACAAGCUGGAAUCAAGAUUGCCAGGAGAAAUAUCAAUAACCUCAGAUAUACAGAUGACACCACCCUUAUGGCAGAAAGUGAAGAGGAACUAAAAAGCCUCUUGAUGAAAGUGAAAGAGGAGAGUGAAAAAGUUGGCUUAAAGCUCAACAUUCAGAAAACAAAGAUCAUGGCAUCUGGUCCCAUCACUUCAUGGGAAAUAGAUGGGGAAAAAGUGGAAACAGUGUCAGACUUUAUUUUUGGGGGCUCCAAAAUCACUGCAGAUGGUGACUGCAGCCAUGAAAUUAAAAGACGCUUACUUCUUGGAAGAAAAGUUAUGACCAACCUAGAUAGCAUAUUGAAAAGCAGAGACAUUACUUUGCCAACAAAGGUCCAUCUAGUCAAGGCUAUGGUUUUUCCAGUAGUCAUGUAUGGAUGUGAGAGUUGGACUGUGAAGAAAGCUGAACACCGAGAAAUUGAUGCUUUUGAACUGUGGUGUUGGAGAAGACUCUUGAGAGUCCCUUGGACUGCAAGGAGAUCCAACCAGUCCAUUCUGAAGAAGAUCAGCCCUGGGAUUUCAUUGGAAGGAAUGAUGCUAAAGCUGAAACUCCAGUACUUUGGCCACCCCAUGCAAAGAGUUGACUCAUCGGAAAAGACUCUGAUGCUGGGAGGGGUUGUGGGCAGGGGGAGAAGGGGAUGA